AUUGAACGCUGGCGGCAGGCCUAACACAUGCAAGUCGAACGAGUGGCGGACGGGUGAGUAAUGUCUGGGAAACUGCCUUAUGGAGGGGGAUAACUACUGGAAACUGUAGCUAAUACCGCAUACCAUAGGAUGUGCCCAAGUGGGAUUAGGUAGUUGGUGGGGUAAAGGCUCACCAAGGCGACGAUCCCUAGCUGGUCUGAGAGGAUGACCAGCAACACGGGGACUGGGACACGGUCCAGACUCCGACGGGAGGCAGCAGUGGGGAAUAUUGCGCAAUGGGGGCAACCCUGACGCAGCCAUGCCGCGUGAAUGAAGAAGGCCUUCGGGUUGUAAAGUUCUUUCGGUAGAGAGGCGUUAACGACAGAAGAAGCACCGGCUAACUCCGUGCCAGCCGCCGCGGUAAUUC
rnacentral:rRNA from 1 species